rnacentral:rRNA from 1 species
CUACGGGUUGCUCCAGUGGGGAAUAUUGCACAAUGGGCGCAAGCCUGAUGCAGCCAUGCCGCGUGUAUGAAGAAGGCCUUCGGGUUGUAAAGUACUUUCAGCGGGGAGGAAGGGAGUAAAGUUAAUACCUUUGCUCAUUGACGUUACCCGCAGAAGAAGCACCGGCUAACUCCGUGCCAGCGGCCGCGGUAAUACGGAGGGUGCAAGCGUUAAUCGGAAUUACUGGGCGUAAAGCGCACGCAGGCGGUUUGUUAAGUCAGAUGUGAAAUCCCCGGGCUCAACCUGGGAACUGCAUCUGAUACUGGCAAGCUUGAGUCUCGUAGAGGGGGGUAGAAUUCCAGGUGUAGCGGUGAAAUGCGUAGAGAUCUGGAGGAAUACCGGUGGCGAAGGCGGCCCCCUGGACGAAGACUGACGCUGAGGUGCGAAAGCGUGGGGAGCAAACAGGAUUAGAUACCCUAGUAGUC